AGUCACAGUCACAGCCACCAUGCCAGGGAGGACCUGGGAACUGUGCCUGCUACUGCUGCUGGGGCUGGGACCGGGGUCCCAGGAGGCCCUACCCCCACCCUGUGAGAGUGAGAUUUACUGCCACGGGGAGCUCCUAAACCAAGUUCAAAUGGCCAAGCUCUACCAGGAUGACAAGCAGUUUGUGGACAUGCCACUGUCUAUAGCUCCAGAACAAGUCCUGCAGACCUUCACUGAACUGUCCAGGGACCACAAUCACAGCAUCCCCAGGGAGCAGCUGCAGGCGUUUGUCCACGAACACUUCCAGGCCAAGGGGCAGGAGCUGCAGCCCUGGACCCCUGCAGACUGGAAAGACAGCCCCCAGUUCCUGCAGAAGAUUUCAGAUGCCAAACUGCGUGCCUGGGCAGGGCAGCUGCAUCAGCUCUGGAAGAAGCUGGGGAAGAAGAUGAAGCCAGAGGUUCUCAGCCACCCUGAGCGGUUCUCUCUCAUCUACUCAGAACAUCCCUUCAUUGUGCCUGGCGGUCGCUUUGUUGAGUUCUACUACUGGGACUCCUACUGGGUCAUGGAGGGUCUGCUCCUCUCGGAGAUGGCUGAGACGGUGAAGGGCAUGCUGCAGAACUUCUUGGACCUGGUGAAAACCUAUGGGCAUGUCCCCAAUGGUGGGCGCGUGUACUACCUGCAGCGGAGCCAGCCCCCACUCUUGACCCUCAUGAUGGAUUGCUACUUGACUCACACCAAUGACACCGCCUUUCUACAGGAAAACAUUGAAACACUAGCCUUGGAAUUGGACUUUUGGACCAAGAACAGGACUGUCUCUGUGAGCUUGGAGGGAAAGAACUACCUCCUGAAUCGCUAUUAUGUCCCUUAUGGGGGACCCAGGUGAGGAACUGGGCAGCCCACCCCUCAAUCUCUUACCUGAUCACUCUGGUUAGAGCAUCACAAUGCCCCGGGCAGGAGGAGGAGUGACUUAGCCUGGCCUCUCAGAUGGUGACACCGAGAGCCCUCUGCAAUCCUGGGCUGUGGGGCCCAAGGGCAGCUGGAUCAAGAUGGCUCAGCCUCUUCUUGACCACAGAGGGGCUUAGUAGCUACUAGUGCCAGGCUGCCCACCUCUCCUCUUUGCCAGGCCUGAGUCCUACAGCAAAGAUGUGGAGUUGGCUGACACCUUGCCAGAAGGAGACCGGGAGGCUCUGUGGGCUGAGCUCAAGGCUGGGGCUGAGUCUGGCUGGGACUUCUCUUCACGCUGGCUCAUUGGAGGCCCAAACCCCAACUCGCUUAGCGGCAUCCGAACAAGCAAACUGGUGCCUGUUGACCUGAAUGCCUUCCUAUGCCAAGCAGAGGAGCUGAUGAGCAACUUCUAUUCCAGGCUGGGGAACGACUCCCAGGCCACGAAGUACAGAAUCCUGCGGUCGCAGCGCUUGGCCGCCCUGAACGCAGUCCUGUGGGAUGAGCAGACCGGAGCCUGGUUCGAUUACGACCUUGAGAAGAAGAAGAAAAACCGGGAGUUUUACCCAACCAACCUCACUC
rnacentral:sRNA from 1 species